rfam:Oryza brachyantha chromosome 1, whole genome shotgun sequence.
CAUAAUAGCAUCAUUUUUCGUUUUUCCAUGUUCAACGUUUGACCAUUCGUCUUAUUUAAUUUUUUUUGUGAUUAAUAUUUUUAUUAUUACUAGAUGAUAAAAUAUGAAUAGUACUUUAUAUGUGACUAUUCUUUUAGAUUUUUGCAUAAAUUUUUAAAAUAAGACGAAUGGUCAAAUGUUAGAUACAGAAAA